rnacentral:rRNA from 1 species
GACGAACGCUGGCGGCGUGCUUAACACAUGCAAGUCGAACGAUGAAGCUGGAGCUUGCUCCGGUGGAUUAGUGGCGAACGGGUGAGUAACACGUGAGCAAUCUGCCCUUGACUCUGGGAUAACUGCGGGAAACUGUAGCUAAUACCGGAUACGAGAUUUGGAGGCAUCUCCGGAUCUGGAAAGAAUUUCGGUCAAGGAUGAGCUCGCGGCCUAUCAGCUUGUUGGUGAGGUAAUGGCUCACCAAGGCGACGACGGGUAGCCGGCCUGAGAGGGUGACCGGCCACACCGGGACUGAGACACGGCCCAGACUCCUACGGGAGGCAGCAGUGGGGAAUAUUGCACAAUGGGCGAAAGCCUGAUGCAGCAACGCCGCGUGAGGGAUGAAGGCCUUCGGGUUGUAAACCUCUUUUAGCAGGGAAGAAGCGAAAGUGACGGUACCUGCAGAAAAAGCACCGGCUAACUACGUGCCAGCAGCCGCAGUAA